rnacentral:rRNA from 1 species
GACGAACGCUGGCGGCGUGCCUAAUACAUGCAAGUAGAACGCUGAAGGAGGAGCUUGCUUCUCUGGAUGAGUUGCGAACGGGUGAGUAACGCGUAGGUAACCUGCCUGGUAGCGGGGGAUAACUAUUGGAAACGAUAGCUAAUACCGCAUAAGAGUAGAUGUUGCAUGACAUUUGCUUAAAAGGUGCAAUUGCAUCACUACCAGAUGGACCUGCGUUGUAUUAGCUAGUUGGUGGGGUAACGGCUUACCAAGGCGACGAUACAUAGCCGACCUGAGAGGGUGAUCGGCCACACUGGGACUGAGACACGGCCCAGACUCCUACGGGAGGCAGCAGUAGGGAAUCUUCGGCAAUGGACGGAAGUCUGACCGAGCAACGCCGCGUGAGUGAAGAAGGUUUUCGGAUCGUAAAGCUCUGUUGUAAGAGAAGAACGAGUGUGAGAGUGGAAAGUUCACACUGUGACGGUAUCUUACCAGAAAGAGACGGCUAACUACGUG